rnacentral:rRNA from 1 species
UACGGAGGAUGCAAGCGUUAUCCGGAAUGAUUGGGCGUAAAGCGUCCGCAGGUGGCAAUGUAAAUCUGCUGUCAAAGCGUCUGGCUCAACCAGAUAAAGGCAGUGGAAACUACAUAGCUAGAGUAAGGUAGGGGUAGAGGGAAUUCCUGGUGUAGCGGUGAAAUGCGUAGAGAUCAGGAAGAACACCGAUGGCGAAAGCGCUCUGCUGGACCUUAACUGACACUGAGGGACGAAAGCUAGGGGAGCGAAUGGG